CGCGAGAUUUACACUUCCACUUGCCACUCUUCAGGAGGAGGAAUCACGCGGGUCCUGAGAGAAAUCUUCUCUAUGUUCCAAAUCUGUAUUUGUCCACAGAUGGAUUCAUUCAAACCUCCGUGACCAGGUAAUGGAUGCUUGGAGAUAUUCUCAACUUGAAGGCUGGAGUUUGACCCUCAGGUCAAGAACUGGCUGCUGAAACGUGGUGAUGCUCCACUUGGACACCACUGAGGCGUUAUGGGAAAGGUGCUGUGAGAACUACAAAGUGGAAAAAGGACGUAUCAGAAAUCCGAGACAAGACUUUGCCAGCAAAUCGGAGUGGAAUUGAAAUGUUAUUGAUGCACAAGAGAAUUUUUCAGCUAAAUACUGAGUAGUAGCAUCUAGACUGGUAGAGCUACAAUAAGUUGCUGCAUACGUUGCAAGACUUGUGCUUUCUAAGGAGUCUACAAAAGCAAUUUAGCCAUAAAGAAUCAUAAAUAACACUUUAUUUUUUUGUACAAAAGUUUAAACAUGACUUACAAAAACAAUUUAAAAAUAAAAACAACUAUCAAUCUGUUAA